CGUAGCGAAAUGCGAUACUUGAUAAGCGGAGGAAAAGAAACUAACAAGGAUUCCCCUAGUAACGGCGAGCGAACCAGGAAAAGCCCACAAUGAGAAUCGGUCGCCUUUGGCGUUCGAAAUUAGUCUGGAGAACCGUCCUCAGUGGCGGACCGGGCCCAAGUCUCCUGGAAUGAGAGCCCCAUUGUGCCCUAACCCUGUCGUAUCACGAGGCGCUGUCUGCGAGUCGGGUUGUUUGAGAAUGCAGCCCCAAUCGGGCGGUAAAUUCCGUCCAAGGCUAAAUACUGGCGAGAGACCGAUAGCGAACAAGUUCCGCGAGAGAAAGAUGAAAAGGACUUUGAAAAGAAAGUCAAAGAGUGCUUAAAAUUGUCGAGAGGGAAGCGGAUGGGGGCCGACGAUGUGUCCAGGUCGGAUGUGGAAGGGUGUGAGCCGAUCCGCCGAUCAACUCGGCACAUUUACCGACGCGAAUUGCAAUGGUGGCCCAAGCUCGAGCUCUUGAUAUGCUCGUGGAGACGUCAUUGCUGCAAUUGUGGACGGCAGCUCGCGCGUCAUGGAGUGCUUCGGCACGUGCGAGCUCCGGGCGUCAGCCUGUGGGCUCACCAUUCGGCCCGUCUUGAAACACGG
rnacentral:rRNA from 1 species